GCUUAACACAUGCAAGUCGAACGGCAGCACAGCUUAAGCUUGCUUAAGUGGGUGGCGAGUGGCGGACGGGUGAGUAAUGCAUCGGGACCUACCUAGACGUGGGGGAUAACGUAGGGAAACUUACGCUAAUACCGCAUACGUCCUACGGGAGAAAGCAGGGGACCUUCGGGCCUUGCGCGGUUAGACGGACCGAUGUUCGAUUAGCUUGUUGGUGAGGUAACGGCCCACCAAGGCGACGAUCGAUAGCUGGUCUGAGAGGAUGAUCAGCCACACUGGGACUGAGACACGGCCCAGACUCCUACGGGAGGCAGCAGUGGGGAAUAUUGGACAAUGGGCGCAAGCCUGAUCCAGCAAUGCCGCGUGUGUGAAGAAGGCCUUCGGGUUGUAAAGCACUUUUAUCAGGAGCGAAACGCUGUCGGCUAAUACCCGGCGGAACUGACGGUACCUGAGGAAUAAGCACCGGCUAACUUCGCGCCAGCAGCCGCGGUAAUACGAAGGGUGCAAGCGUUAAUCGGAAUUACUGGGCGUAAAGCGUGCGUAGGCGGUUUCUUAAGUCUGCUGUGAAAUCCCCGGGCUCAACCUGGGAAUGGCAGUGGAUACUGGGAGGCUAGAGUGUGUCAGAGGGUGGUGGAAUUCCCGGUGUAGCGGUGAAAUGCGUAGAGAUGUGGAGGAAUACCGAUGGCGAAGGCAGCCCCCUGGGUUAGUACUGACGCUCAUGCACGAAAGCGUGGGGAGCAAACAGGAUUAGAUACCCCUGGUAGUCCACG
rnacentral:rRNA from 1 species